rnacentral:rRNA from 1 species
AACGAACGCUGGCGGCAGGCCUAACACAUGCAAGUCGAACGCUCCAGCAAUGGAGAGUGGCAGACGGGUGAGUAACACGUGGGAACCUUCCCUUUGGUUCGGAAUAGCCCAGGGAAACUUGGGGUAAUACCGGAUAAGCCCUUACGGGGAAAGAUUUAUCGCCGAAGGAUGGGCCCGCGUCGGAUUAGCUAGUUGGUGGGGUAACGGCCUACCAAGGCGACGAUCCGUAGCUGGUCUGAGAGGAUGAUCAGCCACACUGGGACUGAGACACGGCCCAGACUCCUACGGGAGGCAGCAGUGGGGAAUAUUGGACAAUGGGCGCAAGCCUGAUCCAGCCAUGCCGCGUGAGUGACGAAGGUCUUCGGAUUGUAAAGCUCUUUUGGCGGGGACGAUAAUGACGGUACCCGCAGAAUAAGCCCCGGCUAACUUCGUGCCAGCCGCCGCCGUAACAC